rnacentral:rRNA from 1 species
UUUGUAGAAUGAACCGGCGAGUUACGAUUUGAUGCAAGGUUAAGCAGUAAAUGUGGAGCCGUAGCGAAAGCGAGUCUGAAUAGGGCGUUUAGUAUUUGGUCGUAGACCCGAAACCAGGUGAUCUACCCUUGGUCAGGUUGAAGUUCAGGUAACACUGAAUGGAGGACCGAACCGACUUACGUUGAAAAGUGAGCGGAUGAACUGAGGGUAGCGGAGAAAUUCCAAUCGAACCUGGAGAUAGCUGGUUCUCUCCGAAAUAGCUUUAGGGCUAGCCUCAAGUGAUGAUUAUUGGAGGUAGAGCACUGUUUGGACGAGGGGCCCCUCUCGGGUUACCGAAUUCAGACAAACUCCGAAUGCCAAUUAAUUUAACUUGGGAGUCAGAACAUGGGUGAUAA